rnacentral:rRNA from 1 species
UACAGAGGUCCCGAGCGUUGUUCGGAUUCACUGGGCGUAAAGGGUGCGUAGGUGGCAUGGAAAGUUUGAUGUGAAAGCUCAGGGCUUAACCCUGAAAUGGCAUUGAAUACUGCUGUGCUGGAGGUUUGGAGGGGGGACUGGAAUUCUUGGUGUAGCAGUGAAAUGCGUAGAUAUCAAGAGGAACACCAGUGGCGAAGGCGAGUCCCUGGACAACACCUGACACUGAGGCACGAAAGCCAGGGGAGCGAACGGG